rnacentral:rRNA from 1 species
CAGGUCUUCGGAUGCUGACGAGUGGCGAACGGGUGAGUAAUACAUCGGAACGUGCCCGAUCGUGGGGGAUAACGAAGCGAAAGCUUUGCUAAUACCGCAUACGAUCUACGGAUGAAAGCAGGGGACCGCAAGGCCUUGCGCGAACGGAGCGGCCGAUGGCAGAUUAGGUAGUUGGUGGGAUAAAAGCUUACCAAGCCGACGAUCUGUAGCUGGUCUGAGAGGACGACCAGCCACACUGGGACUGAGACACGGCCCAGACUCCUACGGGAGGCAGCAGUGGGGAAUUUUGGACAAUGGGCGAAAGCCUGAUCCAGCCAUGCCGCGUGCAGGAUGAAGGCCUUCGGGUUGUAAACUGCUUUUGUACGGAACGAAAAGACUCUGGUUAAUACCUGGGGUCCAUGACGGUACCGUAAGAAUAAGCACCGGCUA